GCCAGGCAUGGUGGCGCUUGCCUGUAAUCCCAGCUACCGGGGAGGCUGAGGUGGGAGGAUUGCUUGAGCCCAGGAGGUGGAGGUUGCAGUGAGCUGAGACUGUGCCACUGCACUCCAGCCUGGGUGACAGAGCAAGACUCCAUCUCAA
rfam:Pan troglodytes isolate Yerkes chimp pedigree #C0471 (Clint) chromosome 9, whole genome shotgun sequence.